UACGUAGGGGGCUAGCGUUGUCCGGAAUCAUUGGGCGUAAAGCGCGUGUAGGCGGUCCGGUAAGUCCGCUGUGAAAGUCGGGGCUCAACCCUCGAAUGCCGGUGGAUACUGUCAGACUAGAGUACGGAAGAGGCGAGUGGAAUUCCUGGUGUAGCGGUGAAAUGCGUAGAUAUCGUAAGGAAGACCAGUGGCGAAGGCGGGUCUCUGG
rnacentral:rRNA from 1 species